rnacentral:rRNA from 1 species
UACGUAGGGUGCAAGCGUUGUCCGGAAUUACUGGGCGUAAAGCGUGCGCAGGCGGUUUGCUAAGACAGGUGUGAAAUCCCCGGGCUUAACCUGGGAACUGCGCUUGUUACUGGCAGGCUUGGAGUGUGGCAGAGGGGGGUGGAAUUCCGACGUGUAGCAGUGAAAUGCGUAGAGAUGUGGAGGAACACCGAUGGCGAAGGCAGCCCCCUGGGCUAACACUGACGCUCAUGCACGAAAGCGUGGGGAGCAAACAGG